UACAUGGUGUUUGUGAGAAGAUUUUGAGUCAUUUGCAUUUCUCUCGUAGAAAGAAUGGAACCAGAAGCUUUGUCCAUGGAAGACCACUCCCCAUAUCACACCUGUUGGCUGGUGAUGGCUUGCCCAGUUGGGGCAAUUGUGGCUGGGAAAUAUUGAGGUGUUCUUAAUAAUAGUCAUAGCAAGCAAUUUACUGGAUGCUUACUCUAUUCCAGGCACUGUUUAGAGUAAUUUCUAGGUAUCAUUUCAUUCACCCUCCACAACCUUUUGAGGUAGGUAUUGACAGAAGAAAAAAAUUGAGAGACAGGAAUGUUAAUUUGCUACAGCCAGGAUCCAGACCAUCUGACUCCAAAGUACCUUCUUUCAACUCUUACACUAGACUUCCUCUAAGGAUCCAUCUUCUGAUCUGCCAAUAAAUUUUUAUUGAGUUUCUUACUAUAAUCAGGAGCUCAAGUGUAGAGCAGAAGAUUAAUCUAGUUCCUUCUCCAGAUAAGCCUCCAUUCUCUUGGGAGUGCACAAACAUAAGAAGUGAACAGAGAUUCUUGGAAAUUUGAGAAACCAGAGAGGUUAGGGGUUUAGUGGAACGUGUAAGAAAUGGGAUUAAUGAUAAAAGGCCUGGAGGAGGUAACUUUAAAUUGUCAUUUAUUUGAAGAGGCUGUAACCCAACUGCCCUGUGAAUAUAAAGUUAUGCUUGAAUUCCUCAUUGCAUAUCUGAAGAUUGGUGAGGUUAUCUAUCACUUGAGCUCCAUAAAAUGCUGAUUCCUGGGUCCAUCCAGUAGGUUGUUAGUGAGUGACAGGAUGAUCCAGGUUUGGGAACCACAGAUUUAGUUCAUGUUUCUGACUCUGUAGAGAGUUAACGAAUUGAUGUCUCCUAAAUUUUCAAUAAAACUCGAGGAACUCCUCCCACUGCCAUUGUUUGUAGCUUUUACCAGUUUGAUCCUACCUGUGUUAGGUGUUAAAGGAGGAGGGAAAGGGAAGGCAGAGACGCAACCCAGAAUCUGUGUGGCAAGUCGGGGUUCUCAUAUAGGAGACUUACUGAACAAAGCAAGAGAAAAUGUUCAGGGUCUGGGUGCGGUGGCUCACGCCUGUAAUCCCAGUAGUUUGGGUGGGCAGAUCACCUGAGGUCAGGAGUUCGAGACCAGCCUGACCAAUAUGAUGAAACCCCGUCUCUACUAAAAAUACAAAAAUUACCUGGGUACGGUGGCUUGUGCCUGUAAUCCCAGCUACUCGGGAGGCUGAAACAGGAGAAUCGUUUGAAUCUGAGAGGCAGAGGUUGCAGUGAGCUGAGAUCGAUCACUUGAGGCCGGGAGUUUCAGACCGACCUGAGCAACAUGGCAAAACUGCGUCUCUAAAAAAAUAAAUAAAAAUAAAAAAUUAUCAUAUGGCAAGCUAUUCUAUUUUUAAAAAGCAGUAACAAAGGAACUUGUUGCUUUAAAAAAAAAAAAAAAAA
rnacentral:lncRNA from 1 species